rfam:Oryza barthii chromosome 6, whole genome shotgun sequence.
AGAAAUAAUAAACCUUGAUUUUCGUAUCCAACGUUUAACUGUCCAUCUUAUAUAAAAUUUUCUUAUAAUUAGUAUUUUCAUUGUUGUUAGAUGAUAAAACAUGAUUAAUAUUUUAUGCGUGACUUAUAUUUUUAAUUUUUUUCAUAAUUUUUUUCAAAUAAGACGGAUGGUCAAACGUUGGACAUGUAAAUCUAGGGUUUGUCUUUUU